rnacentral:rRNA from 1 species
GAUGAACGCUGGCGGCGUGCUUAACACAUGCAAGUCGAACGAAGCACUUUACUUUGAAGCCUUCGGGAAGAGAGGUAUUGUGACUGAGUGGCGGACGGGUGAGUAACGCGUGGAUAACCUGCCCCAUACAGGGGGAUAACAGUUAGAAAUGACUGCUAAUACCGCAUAAGACCACGGCACCGCAUGGUGCAGGGGUAAAAACUCUGGUGGUAUGGGAUGGAUCCGCGUCUGAUUAGCUUGUUGGCGGGGUAACGGCCCACCAAGGCGACGAUCAGUAGCCGGCCUGAGAGGGCGACCGGCCACAUUGGGACUGAGACACGGCCCAA